CGCCGGCGCUGAACCGGGCUCGUCCGAGGCGCGUCGCCGCUGCCGCCCUUCGAGCCCCGCCGAUCGGACUCGCGCGGGGACGGCCUUCACUUCGGCCUGCCGGGCGUCGGCAGCGGCGGCGGCGUCCCUGCCCCGGAGCUCCGGCAGGAAGGGAGGAGGCGGCGGCGGCCGGCGGGGCGCGACCCCCGCGAGGGUCUCAACAAUGGUGCGCAGCGCUGGCGCGAUCCCCGCGUCCGCCCCGCGGCCGUAGAGGAAGCGGCCGGGAGCCGCCCCCACCCCGGACCCCCCAGCCACUCGCUCCCCCGAGUUGGCAUGGCCUCGCGGGCUGGGGCUCCCGCUUGCCAGGACCUGCAGACCAGGACCCAACAGACACCUCGCUGCUCUUAGCUUGCUUUUGUCCGCUGUUUUGUUUGUUUGUUUGUUUUUCACAUCAAAGAAAAAAAUGAUACAAAUAUCUUCCAAUAUUUUGCCCAUUUUUUUCCAAAAGGCAUUGGUUUUGUUGUACUGAGACUACAUUUUGCAUUGUUCGUGUAUAUGACUCGCUAACAUUUUCUUCCAAUCUGCUGCGGUUGAUAUUUUUUUCAGAGAUUUUGCUUUUGGUGUCAUAUAUGGAAACUUAUCAUCAAUCCUCAAGCCAUGAAGUCUACCCGGCAUACAGUAAGCUGCCACACAGGACCAAGGAUUGUCUCAGUCACAGCCUGCAACCGACCAUGGAGAGAAACGUCUCAGGUGGAAGCCUCAGGAGACAAAUGAAAGACUUAAGAAUUACCAAGAUGCUUUGCUUCAGAGUGACCUCACUUUGUGUCCUGUAGGAGUGAACACAGAGUGUUACAGAAUAUAUGAGGCCUGCUCCUUUGGCUCCAAUCCUGUGGUAGAAGAUGUGAUGAAAGCUGGGCACUGUGGAAACAUGUCCAGUUACCACAGCACUCCUGUGCAGUUACUCAAGGCCAUGGGUGCCCCCUUUAUCUUCAUCAAGGACUGGAAGGAGCUUCCUGCCAUUUUAGAAAAGGAGAAGACUGUAACUUUACAAGAAAACAUUCAAAGAAGAAAAAUGUUACUUCACUGGUACCAACACUUCAAAACAGAACUAAAGUGGAAAUUUACUAAUAUUUUAGAAAGCUCAUUUUUUAUGAAUA